GGCCCCGUAGCUCAGUGGGAGAGCGCCCGAUUUUCGAUCGGGUGGCCGCCGGUUCGAUUCCGGCCGUGGGCA
rnacentral:tRNA from 1 species